GAUUAUGGCUCAGGAUGAACGCUGGCGGCGUGCUUAACACAUGCAAGUCGAACGGAGUUAAGCGCUGAAUGAGGCUUCGGCGGAUUCUGCUUAACUAGUGGCGGACGGGCGAGUAACGCGUGAGUAACCUGCCCUCGAGUGGGGAAUAACGUUCUGAAAAGGACGCUAAUACCGCAUAAUAUAUGUUUGUCGCAUGGCAGAUAUAUCAAAGAUUUAUCGCUCGAGGAUGGACUCGCGUCCGAUUAGCUUGUUGGUGGGGUAACGGCCCACCAAGGCGACGAUCGGUAGCCGGACUGAGAGGUUGAACGGCCACAUUGGGACUGAGACACGGCCCAGACUCCUACGGGAGGCAGCAGUGGGGGAUAUUGCGCAAUGGGGGGAAAAACCCCUGACGCAGCAACGCCGCGUGGAGGAUGACGGUUUUCGGAUUGUAAACUCCUUUUAUAAGGGACGAACUAAGACGGUACCUUAUGAAUAAGCUCCGGCUAACUACGUGCCAGCCGCUGC
rnacentral:rRNA from 1 species